CCCCAGCCCGGUGCUGUGCCUCGGCCCUGCGCUCCCCGCCCGCGGAGCCGCUCCAGCUUUUGUCUCCGUACGCUGCCUUCUUCCUUUCUCUCUUUCCAAACUUUUGAGCGCUCACUCUGAGCUGUAUUUAUAGAGCUGGAGCCCACGGCUGUAUUUUUCCUUGUGCCUCCUUUGGCUUGGGCUGAAGUCACUGGCAGGGAAAAUAAGAAGGAGGCAGGCGGGCGGGCAGACGAGCGAGAGGACAGAAGGGAAAAAGAGCCUGAGUCCCGCAGACGGGACCUGGAGGGAGUCCGGGGUAGGCGGCGGAACGUGCGGGACCCUUUUCCCGCUGACGAGCGAGAGUAAGGACGCUCAAGUCUCUAAGAUGGCACCAAAUCUCUCAGCAAAGCGGGCAGUAUAGUUGCGUUGUUAAGCAUUUUCCUCGCCGGCGUGCACCACACUGACACUAAUGUCAGAAAUGAAUGUCAAAGUAACUCUGACAUCGUUAGACAGCCCGUUCCGCAGAGAACUUUUAGAUUCUGGAGGAAAAGAACCUCUCCUACAGUGGCAGCACGGGAACCAAAGGGAAGGAAAGCAGCAAUCGGGGGAACUCCAGGUGAAGCAAAUUUAGAGAGAAUUGCACGACGCUGCCACGAGGCAUUCUGACAGCAUAUCCUUGCCUGCUGUGGGAGUUCUGCAAUUCAGUUCUUUAGGUCCUCUUCACACCCACACCCAAGAACACCGACUGCUGAGUAAACAGACGUGAUGGUGUAGACUGCAAGAUUAUUUAUCCUCAAACACUGAAUCACAUACACUGCCCCACUCUGUGCCCGCAACGGAAUAGACUGUAAGGCUACACUUUUUCCUCCAGUGUCCAAAUCUACUGCACUUAAACAACAACAACAACAAAAUAGAUAUAAAUCCCUCCUUUCUGAAAGGGGGAGAUGCAGAAUCCACAGGAAACGAGGGUGAUGAGCUCCAUCAUACAUUAAUAGAAAUAAGACUGGCUGUGUCAUUGGCUUGUGAGUAAAGCUCAAGACUGAAGAACCACAGCAAGUUCUGUGGUGAUCUACAUCUGUGUUUGGCAGAAGCUUUCUGACUUGCCCUCAGGGAAAAAAAAAAGUACUGCUGUUGUGAAACAAAUCCCUGCAUCAUUUCUGAAAAGGCGAUCAGAAUUAGGAGGUAACUGGUCCUUUAUUUUGGAGGCAGGCUCUGCUGAACAGCUGAUACUGAGCAGAAGGAGAUCGUUCAAACAUCUGUCUAUGUAACAGAGUUGGAAGCCUCGAAGAUGAUUCCACAUUACUGUAGUUACAAAGAAAAAUGAGCAGGCUGAUUUCAGGGCAAACAAUUAAAAAUGUUUUAAUUCUUCAACGGCACAGGAUUUUUCACUAAGAAACAAGCAUGUGCUUUCAGGAAUAUCUUUGUCAUUUCGUCCCAUCUGUUAGGUACAUAAGUAUCGAGAGCACUACUCUUUUUUUUCAGUAAGAAGUUACGAAGGUUAGCGUGUCACCCUUCUUUUCAUUACGGGAAGGAAGUGAGCACUAAAAAUAGAUUAAGGAUAUAAUCAUGGCGGUUUGCUGUCAUUUCACGCAGAACCUCAAUUCCAGAAGUUUACCUAAAAUGGAAAGUAGGUUCCAAUAAGAGCAGCUUUUCCUAUUAGCUGCCAAGUGGAAUCAUAAUGUACACUUGGCUUGGAAUCUGUAAGAUUUCACACCUAAUUCUACUGGACUUAAAUUUUCGUUUGCCAUCAGAAUAAAACCUCUAAUUGAGAGCAGAAACUGCUUCUUGCAUCUUUUAUUUGAAUCUGACUCACACAUUGACAAAAGUCUAAGGAAGGAAUUUUCCCUUGCAUACAUAUGAUGAUUCCUCUUGGAUGUUCUGUACCUAAGAAUUCCUUGUGAUUUACUAAUACGAAACAGAGAAUGAGAGGAAAUUAUCUUCAUCUGUUUCUCCCACCCAUAAAGCUCAAAAUAGACAGUGUUAGAGCAAUUGCAUACUCCUGCACCUUCUUCACCUAACUCCUCUUGCACUGUCCUCAACUAGCAGGCACUGAGGACAGCAGAAAUACACGUGGAGAGGAACAUCUAUGUCUCAGGUAUCAGUGAAAAGUCUGUAGUAAAUACAGGGGAAAAUCAUAAGGAAAAAAAAAAAACAAACAAUAAAAUUAGGAGAGCUACAAAAGUAAAGGAAAAAAAGAGGAAAAGG
ensembl:lncRNA